GUUCACUGCCGCACUGGCAGCUCAGAAA
rnacentral:other from 1 species